rnacentral:rRNA from 1 species
GAUGAACGCUGGCGGCGUGCCUAAUACAUGCAAGUCGAGCGAACAGAUAAGGAGCUUGCUCCUUUGACGUUAGCGGCGGACGGGUGAGUAACACGUGGGUAACCUACCUAUAAGACUGGGAUAACUUCGGGAAACCGGAGCUAAUACCGGAUAACAUUUGGAACCGCAUGGUUCUAAAGUGAAAGAUGGUUUGGCUAUCACUUAUAGAUGGACCCGCGCCGUAUUAGCUAGUUGGUAAGGUAACGGCUUACCAAGGCAACGAUACGUAGCCGACCUGAGAGGGUGAUCGGCCACACUGGAACUGAGACACGGUCCAGACUCCUACGGGAGGCAGCAGUAGGGACUCUUCCGCAAUGGGCGAAAGCCUGACGGAGCAACGCCGCGUGAGUGAUGAAGGGUUUCGGCUCGUAAAACUCUGUUAUUAGGGAAGAACAAACGUGUAAGUAACUGUGCACGUCUUGACGGUACCUAAUCAGAAAGCCACGGCUAACUACGUG